rnacentral:rRNA from 1 species
CCUACGGGAGGCAGCAGUGAGGAAUAUUGGUCAAUGGACGAGAGUCUGAACCAGCCAAGUAGCGUGAAGGAUGACUGCCCUAUGGGUUGUAAACUUCUUUUAUAAAGGAAUAAAACGAGGCACGUGUGCCUUUUUGCAUGUACUUUAUGAAUAAGGAUCGGCUAACUCCGUGCCAGCAGCCGCGGUAAUACGGAGGAUCCGAGCGUUAUCCGGAUUUAUUGGGUUUAAAGGGAGCGUAGAUGGGUUGUUAAGUCAGUUGUGAAAGUUUGCGGCUCAACCGUAAAAUUGCAAUUGAUACUGGCAGUCUAGAGUGCAGUUGAGGUAGGCGGAAUUCGUGGUGUAGCGGUGAAAUGCUUAGAGAUCACGAAGAACCCCGAUUGCGAAGGCAGCUUACUAAACUGUGACUGACAUUGAUGCUCGAAAGUGUGGGUAUCAAACAGGAUUAGAUACCCGGGUAGUC